UACGAAGGGGGCUAGCGUUGUUCGGAAUCACUGGGCGUAAAGCGUAUGUAGGCGGAUUGUUAAGUCAGGGGUGAAAUCCCGAGGCUCAACCUCGGAACUGCCUUUGAUACUGGCUGUCUUGAGUCCGGGAGAGGUGAGUGGAACUCCUAGUGUAGAGGUGAAAUUCGUAGAUAUUAGGAAGAACACCAGUGGCGAAGGCGGCUCACUGGCCCGGAACUGACGCUGAAAUACGAAAGCGUGGGGAGCAAACAGGGAAG
rnacentral:rRNA from 1 species